GGGACUUGUGGGCUGUAGCUGCUGUGAACUGAAGGGAGGGAGAAACUCGAGCAGCUUAAAGUGAAUUUUAGUUUGGUUCUGUCGUGGUGUGUUACCCUGAGUCACAGUAAAUACAAACCUGCAGCAACUGCCUGGCUCAGCUGCUGCUGCUGGAAAGGGAAUUUGCUGAGGGUUUGACACAAAUGGUCCAGGCAUCCCUUUCAUAAACAUAUGCAAUAUAUUCCAGAUGUUGAGAGAGUACAGAAGAAGAGGCCUGCAUCCCUUGCAGAUAAGUUUAUUGUUGUUCUCCCGAGCUCUGCAGGAUGGGUGUGCAGAACUGCUGCCACUGUCACUGCUCUGCUGUGGCAGCUUGUGCUGUGACUCUGAGUCCUCUCUGAGCUGGGGCUGGAGCUGCCCCCACUCCCACGGGAAUUGGCACAGCUGCCUUGGGCAGGCUCAGUGGGCUCAGCCCUGCUGGGCUGUAGCUUUACAGCUACUUUAGAUAAAUCCUGAAAUGUUGCAGUUGUGCUGUGCAGUGCCUGCCCUGCCCCAGGGAUCCCACCUCAGCUGUGUCUGCUCUUCUUUAGCAACCUGGGAGUGUGGCUGAGGACGUGACCAAGGGUGGCAUGGAGAGAACAACCAUCCAGAGGAGCAUUUCCUUCAGCCCUAAAAACACAAUGGCCAAGCCUGCCCUGCAGAAGCCAGUGAGCCAUGCUGUGGUUAAGGAGCCAGUGGUUUCUCCAGCCAGGGAGGAUGACAGGAAGGGAAGCCCCUAUGGGCAGUGGGUUCCUGUCAAGAAGGAGGAGAAGAAAACAUUCCUGAACUUCUCACCCAAAAGCUCCCUGUUCCGAGCACGCUGAUGGGAUUCCCUGUCAGACUGCAGCACUUCACACCCCUCAGUAGAGAGACAGAGAUUUCUCGUGGGCUUGAAGUUUUGUUAAUACUGAGUAUUUAUUUUGAGGUCUUAAUUUUUGGAAUCUUAGGUUUCUCUUUCAGAUAGAGAGCACACAGAUCCAGAAGCCACAGAUGGGAAUCUUGUGUAUAUUUGUAAAUAUUUUGUAUUGCUUUAUUGGACUAGAACUUGCAGGUGGGUAACUUUUUCUAAACCAUAGUUCAGUAGCUGUUCUUUGAACACCUGGAUUUACAUUGUGUAACUGUUUACUUGAAGUGAAUAAAGUUUUAGUUUUGCACUGGC